rnacentral:sRNA from 1 species
GUUCUUAUUUCAUCUCUACCUCAGAGCUGCUGUGUAAACUUAGCUUGAAAUAAUGCUGGAGCCCAAGGUCUGGAGAGAAGCUGCUACUCAAGUGUUCUUUGCCUUAGGUCUGGGAUUUGGUGGUGUCAUUGCCUUUUCAAGCUACAACAAGAGAGACAACAACUGCCACUUUGAUGCUGUCCUGGUGUCCUUCAUCAAUUUUUUCACUUCUGUCCUGGCAACAUUGGUGGUGUUUGCAGUUCUGGGCUUCAAAGCAAAUGUCAUAAAUGAGAAAUGCAUUACACAAAAUUCAGAGACGAUCAUGAAAUUUUUGAAAAUGGGGAACAUUAGUCAGGAUAUUAUUCCCCAUCAUAUCAACCUUUCAACAGUUACUGCAGAAGAUUAUCAUUUAGUUUAUGACAUCAUUCAAAAAGUGAAAGAAGAAGAGUUUCCUGCUCUUCAUCUCAAUUCCUGUAAAAUUGAAGAAGAGCUAAAUAAAGCUGUUCAGGGGACCGGCUUAGCUUUUAUUGCCUUUACAGAAGCGAUGACACAUUUUCCUGCAUCUCCCUUCUGGUCAGUGAUGUUUUUCCUCAUGCUGGUCAAUCUAG